rnacentral:rRNA from 1 species
CAGCAGCCGCGGGAAUACAGAGGGUGCGAGCGUUAAUCGGAUUUACUGGGCGUAAAGCGUGCGUAGGCGGCUUCUUAAGUCGGAUGUGAAAUCCCUGAGCUUAACUUAGGAAUUGCAUUCGAUACUGGGAAGCUUGAGUAUGGGAGAGGAUGGUAGAAUUCCAGGUGUAGCGGUGAAAUGCGUAGAGAUCUGGAGGAAUACCGAUGGCGAAGGCAGCCAUCUGGCCUAAUACUGACGCUGAGGUACGAAAGCAUGGGGAGCAAACAGGAUUAGAGACCCCUGUAGUCCCUGUCUCUUAUAC